rnacentral:rRNA from 1 species
UACGUAGGGGGCAAGCGUUGUCCGGAAUCAUUGGGCGUAAAGAGCGUGUAGGCGGCCCGAUAAGUCCGCUGUGAAAGUCCAGGGCUCAACCCUGGAAUGCCGGUGGAAACUGUCAGGCUCGAGUCCGGAAGAGGCGAGUGGAAUUCCUGGUGUAGCGGUGAAAUGCGCAGAUAUCAGGAGGAACACCAAUGGCGAAGGCAGCUCGCUGGGACGGUACUGACGCUGAGACGCGAAAGCGUGGGGAGCAAACAGG